GAGCCUUUCAAAUGACUAUCCUUGACAACCCAGAAGCAUCCAGAAAAGCCUGAGGAUGGGCUCCAGAGGCAGGCAGAUCUUGGUAGCUGAGCAUGAAGACAUAUAGCACCAGUGAGGCACCAGAGACCGUGAGGCUCCCUUCUUCUCGGCUGCAGCCGCCAUUCCCUCCGGCACCCUACCCCAGCUGCCUUUUGAGGUCCUCCAGCUGCUGGGUGUAGGUGAGCUUGCCUCGGGUCAGCUGGGAAAUCAGCGCCUCCUUCUCAUCCAGCUGCCGGGACAGCUCCCCUGGGGAGGCACCAAGCUUGGCCCGCUGGCUGGUGAGGUCAUUGACAGAACGCUGAGUCUCCUCAGCCUUGCUCCGAUGCUCAUUCAUCUGGUCUUCCAAGGUCCGGCACAUCUUCUCCAGCUUCUGCUUCACUCGCUGCAGGUUGUCGAUCUGCUCCCCCAGCUCGGCCACACUGUCGGCGUGCUUCUUGCGCAGGGCCGCGGCUGUGGCCUCGUGCUGCAGGGUGG